GAUGAACGCUGGCGGCGUGCCUAAUACAUGCAAGUCGAGCGAACAGAUAAGGAGCUUGCUCCUUUGACGUUAGCGGCGGACGGGUGAGUAACACGUGGGUAACCUACCUAUAAGACUGGGAUAACUUCGGGAAACCGGAGCUAAUACCGGAUAACAUUUGGAACCGCAUGGUUCUAAAGUGAAAGAUGGUUUUGCUAUCACUUAUAGAUGGACCCGCGCCGUAUUAGCUAGUUGGUAAGGUAACGGCUUACCAAGGCAACGAUACGUAGCCGACCUGAGAGGGUGAUCGGCCACACUGGAACUGAGACACAGUCCAGACUCCUACGGGAGGCAGCAGUAGGGAAUCUUCCGCAAUGGGCGAAAGCCUGACGGAGCAACGCCGCGUGAGUGAUGAAGGGUUUCGGCGCGUAAAACUCUGUUAUUAGGGAAGAACAAAUGUGUAAGUAACUGUGCACGUCUUGACGGUACCUAAUCAGAAAGCCACGGCUAACUACGUG
rnacentral:rRNA from 1 species